rnacentral:rRNA from 1 species
UACGUAGGGCGCGAGCGUUGUCCGGAAUUAUUGGGCGUAAAGAGCUCGUAGGCGGCUUGUCGCGUCGGAUGUGAAAGCCCGGGGCUUAACUCCGGGUCUGCAUUCGAUACGGGCAGGCUAGAGUUCGGUAGGGGAGAUCGGAAUUCCUGGUGUAGCGGUGAAAUGCGUAGAUAUCUGGAGGAACACCGGUGGCGAAGGCGGCUCGCUGGACCGAAUCUGACACUGAGGUGCGAAAGCUAGGGUAGCAAACGGG